rnacentral:lncRNA from 1 species
AUGGCUGCUGUUGUUGGAGCACUUUCCCGUCUCUUUCAGCCAACUAUUGGGAUACUUUCGGGGGAAAAGGUCUGCCAGGGCAUCAAUCCGUGGUAUUUCCUGAUUGGCCUUCGCAUGGUGACUCUGUUUUUUGCCUUCGGGCCUUGGGAGUCCCUCCGGAGUGAUCUGAUUUGUCAGUGGCCCUCGGACGUUGGGGACGCAAAAGCCUUCUGCUCCGCGCUCUGCUACAACCAGCAGUUCCCCAUCCCCAUCUCCUCCGUCUGGGCCUUCCACUUCAUCGCCAUCAUCUUCACUGUGGCUCUCAUGAAGUUUGUCUACGUUAAGGGGAAAGAUGCAUCCACAAAGGAUGCAGAAGCAGCGGUGGGAUCUUCUGCCCCAACUACCUUCGGUGGUUGGAGAUAUGGAAUCUACAUCUUCUGCAUCGUCCUAAUUUUGACCAUGGAGCUCAUCUUCAUCUGGAUUGUCUUGGGCCUCCAGUUCCCAAUUAUGAACCAAACUGUUGUGAUGUGUUAUCCUAACAAUGCUGCGUGCCCUCCAUCAACCCAGUGCGCUCUUAACGUCCAGUCUGACAAGCAAGCCAUUUUGUGGGCUUUGGCUUUUUGCGCUGCAGCCAACGCCAGCGUCUGCAUUGGCUAUUUGGCCACGCAUGGGGCCCAGGCCUGUGGCUGUUGUGGUGGACGUGGCAAUACAGGGAAGGCGAAUGCCAGAGAAACUGUGAGGCAUGGCUGUCUCUGUAAAAGGGAAGGUUGCAAUUGCAGUCAGGAUGGCAGUGGUGGAUGGAUGGGGUCCCGCAAUUACUGGGGUGACAGUGGGGUGGAAAUGGUAGGAUGCAAGUGCCAGCCCGAGGGACUGAACUGCUGCUGUCACCAAGGCAAUGGCGGUGGCAAGGAUGUGGCUUGUGGUUGUCAGGGCAGUAGGCAAUGCCCCUGCUAUUUCCAAGGCAGUGAAGUGGGGCACAGCCAGAACCUGCUGCCCUGCAGAGAUGAUUCGGAGGGAAAAUUGUUAAGGGGGGACAUUGAAUUAGGUGGCGAAAACAAGGACUGGAGACCUAUUGAUGGGAGGAUGCCAAGGAGAGAACCAUUGAGGAUUGGAGUGAAAAAGAGCCGGGGAAACCCAGGAAGAGAAGGGAGGGUGGUGAAGUACAUGUCAAAGUAUCAGACAUGGGGAAAGCGGUGA